rnacentral:rRNA from 1 species
ACUCAAAGGAAUUGACGGGGACCCGCACAAGCGGUGGAACAUGUGGUUUAAUUCGAGGCAACGCGAAGAACCUUACCAGGCCUUGACAUGCCCUCUAUGGAUUCUUGAAAGAGAAUCCUUCACUUCGGGUGGGAGGAGCACAGGUGCUGCAUGGCUGUCGUCAGCUCGUGUCGUGAGAUGUUGGGUUAAGUCCCGCAACGAGCGCAACCCUCAUCCUCUGUUGCUACCAGGUAAUGCUGGGCACUCUGAGGAAACUGCCGGUGAUAAGCCGGAGGAAGGUGGGGAUGACGUCAAGUCCUCAUGGCCCUUAUGGCCUGGGCUACACACGUGUUACAAUGGCGGUGACAAUGGGUCGCUACCCCGCGAGGGCGUGGCCAAUCCCUAAAAGCCGCCUCAGUUCGGAUUGUACUCUGCAACUCGAGUACAUGAAGCUGGAAUCGCUAGUAAUCGCGGAUCAGCACGCCGCGGUGAAUACGUUCCCGGGUCUUGUACACACCGCCCGU